rnacentral:tRNA from 1 species
GAGGUCUUAGCUUAAUUAAAGUGAUUGAUUUGCAUUCAAUAGAUGUAAGAUGUGGUCUUACAGUCCUUA